rnacentral:rRNA from 1 species
UACGUAGGGUGCAAGCGUUAAUCGGAAUUACUGGGCGUAAAGCGUGCGCAGGCGGUUAUAUAAGACAGAUGUGAAAUCCCCGGGCUCAACCUGGGAACUGCAUUUGUGACUGUAUAGCUGGAGUACGGCAGAGGGGGAUGGAACUCCGCGUGUAGCAGUGAAAUGCGUAGAUAUGCGGAGGAACACCGAUGGCGAAGGCAAUCCCCUGGGCCUGUACUGACGCUCAUGCACGAAAGCGUGGGGAGCAAACAGG